GCUUUGCCUGUGAGAAAGAGAGGGAGCCACGCAGAGAUUUCCAGUAGGAUAAUCUAAAUGAUUGGAAGAUUAAUGGAACAGGCUAUGAUGGCCUGAAAGACUCCUUUCCAUUUAAGGAUAUACCAACCUGUGAGGUGAACUCAAAUAUUCCUGCCAGCCAUGAGAGAGCCCUCUCUCUGGAUGAAUACGUGACCCAACUUUGACCCGAGAGACUGGAGAAGACUUUGCUGGCAGCUUCAGGAAAGAAGCUCUCUCUCUUUCUCCUUCUACAUGGCCUGGAGUGUGGGUGGGAAGCCAGGAAUUCCUGCAGCCAUUUUGCCACCAUGAAAGAAGCUGUCCAAGGGUGAAGACAACACCAUGGAGGGCAGAGAAGACAUCCAGAAAGAAGCAGGGGCCAUUUAAUCAAACUUACCCUGAAGCCCACUCUUCCUCUAGGCCUUCAGCAGGUUUGGGCCAUAGUGAGGGACCUUGGGCUUACUUAGCCCUUAUUCUGGGGGCAGUGGGAAACUAUA